rnacentral:rRNA from 1 species
GACGAACGCUGGCGGCGUGCUUAACACAUGCAAGUCGAGCGGAGCGGCGAACGGGUGAGUAACGCGUGAGUAACUGCCCCCCUCUCUGGGAUAACAGUUGGAAACGGCUGCUAAUACCGGCUAGUGGGGGAUGACUCGCGUCCUAUCAGCUGGUGGGUGGGGUAGUGGUCUACCAAGGCGACGACGGGUAGCCGGCCUGAGAGGGGGACCGGCCACAUGGGGCUUCGGUACGGCGCAGACUCCUACGGGAGGCAGCAGUCGGGAAUAUUGCACAGUGGGGGAAACCCUGAUGCAGCAACGCUGGUGCGGGAUGACGUCCUGCGGGUUGUAAACCGCUUUCAGCCAUGACGCGGUAGUGGCAGAAGAAGCACCGGCUAACUACGUGCCAGCAGCCGCGGUAAUAC